rnacentral:lncRNA from 1 species
UGUUUAGCAUUGGAGGUAAUGUUGUGAGCUCAAGAAGUCUACUGAAGAUUCCUUUGAUGGAAGCUGUCUGAUUGUAGAGGUGAGGAAACCAAUGUCUAAUGAGAUGGUCCAUGUUUUACCCAAGGUCAGAGGCAUACUAAAUGGCAGAACCUAUAUUUAAACUAAGGAAAGGCUGCUGUAUUUUAUCAAAGGCUUUUUAUGCAUCUAUUGAGAUAAACAUCUGA